rnacentral:rRNA from 1 species
AUUGAACGCUGGCGGCAGGCUUAACACAUGCAAGUCGAGCGGGGAAGAGUAGCUUGCUACUUGACCUAGCGGCGGACGGGUGAGUAAUGCUUAGGAAUCUGCCUAUUAGUGGGGGACAACAUCUCGAAAGGGAUGCUAAUACCGCAUACGUCCUACGGGAGAAAGCAGGGGACCUUCGGGCCUUGCGCUAAUAGAUGAGCCUAAGUCGGAUUAGCUAGUUGGUGGGGUAAAGGCCUACCAAGGCGACGAUCUGUAGCGGGUCUGAGAGGAUGAUCCGCCACACUGGGACUGAGACACGGCCCAGACUCCUACGGGAGGCAGCAGUGGGGAAUAUUGGACAAUGGGGGGAACCCUGAUCCAGCCAUGCCGCGUGUGUGAAGAAGGCCUUUUGGUUGUAAAGCACUUUAAGCGAGGAGGAGGCUACCGAGAUUAAUACUCUUGGAUAGUGGACGUUACUCGCAGAAUAAGCACCGGCUAACUCUGUGCCAGCC